GAAAAGGGAGAGCAGAGCAUUGCGCUUCAAGACGGGUGCGUGAUAUGUAUGAGAGGAGAUAUAAAGCCAGUAAAUCAUAUAUCCGAGCAUGGUAGCUGUUUUGAACAAGCUUGGUCUGAGGUCGCUCCGAAAAUACCCAAGUACCACGAAACUGCAGAGCCGCCGGUACACACAGAUUCUCCUUUACUUCUAAAAUAACUUCCUGUGAAGCGAUUUCCACCCAGUGCGUGGCAGAAGGGAGGGAGUUGCUGCAAGGUCAUCCGGUAUACAUACUAAUACCGGAGGAAAUGGUGAAAAUGAAACUGAACUCCAUCUCCGGCAAGGUUACAUCAUACCAAAAGCAGAGUCGACGUAGCAGUAGCACCAGCCGAGUGGAUGUGGGCAUGAAAUUGAUCGAGGGACAUUUUACUCGCUUCCCUACUUCUUCCUUCCUCGCCGGGCGUAUACUCCUCUGGUCGCUGGAACAUGGGAUUUCAAACAAUUUGGCUUAACUAAA